rnacentral:ncRNA from 1 species
CGAAGCUCCGGAAAGUGGGGGUCUAUCCUCACGCCGAAGGUGCAACCGGGCACGGAACAUGCGAAAGCAGGUUUCCCCUCGGGAAUCUCUCAGGCAAAGAACGGAGGCG